rnacentral:rRNA from 1 species
UAGGGAAUAUUGCAAAAUGGGCGAAAGCCCGAUGCAGCAACGCCGCGUGGGCGAUGAAGGCCUUCGGGCCGUAAAGCCCUUUUUGAGGGGAUGAGGAAGGACAGUACCCUCAGAAUAAGCCUCGGCUAACUACGUGCCAGCAGCCGCGGUAAAACGUAGGAGGCGAGCGUUAUCCGGAUUUACUGGGCGUAAAGCGCGUGCAGGCGGAUUGGAGAGUUGGAUGUGAAAGCUCCCGGCUUAACUGGGAGAGGUCGUUCAAUACUUCCAGUCUUGAGUGCAGUAGAGGGAAGUGGAAUUCCGGGUGUAGUGGUGAAAUGCGUAGAUAUCCGGAGGAACACCAGUGGCGAAAGCGGCUUCCUGGACUGUAACUGACGCUCAGACGCGAAAGCUAGGGUAGCAAACG